GGGUCAGUAGGUUGGUCGUGCCACCGGUACGUACUGGUCUCACUGAUUCCUCCUUCCUGAAGAACCGUAAUGCCAUUAAUCUGGUGUUGCGGGGGAACAGGACUGUUACUUUGAAACAAUUAGAGUGUUUAAAGCAAGCUAACGCUUGAAUACAUUAGCAUGGAAUAAUGAAAUAGGACGAUCGAUCCUAUUUUGUUGGUUUCUAGGAUUGACGUA
rnacentral:rRNA from 1 species